rnacentral:misc_RNA from 1 species
AAAGUCGUAACAAGGUUUCCGUAGGUGAACCUGCGGAAGGAUCAUUAUUGAAUCCAAAGGAUGUUGCUGGCCUUUCGGGGCAUGUGCACUCCACCUUUUCAAUACACCUGUGAACUUAUUGUAGGUGCAGAUGUAAAAAGUCUGUCGCCUACGUUUUAACACACCCCUAAAAAAGUCUAUUGAAUGUCUUAAUUGUGGCCUUGAACGGUCAACAAAACUUAAUACAACUUUCAACAAUGGAUCUCUUGGUUCUC